ensembl:lncRNA LDL receptor related protein 5
UGUUGCAGAGCUGCAUUAGCACGAGGGAAACUGAAGACCCAAGUGGAGAGCCUUGGCCAUGCGGUUUCUGUUCCUUGAUGGUACCCCUGCUGAGGAGGUGGGUGCUCCGCCUGUGAGUGUGGUGACACGGGGCAUCAGCUGGGCGCUGCUCAGCUCAUGGUGCUGCUGGGGGUAGUCUGCCAAGGCCUAGGGCCGCGGGCCUGAGAGCUCCUGCCCCUGGGCCAUGGGCUGAAGUUUCUGUAGCGAACGUGUGAGCGUGUUCAGGGGGGAAGCAAACAGCAAAACGUUGUUGCUGAAAUACACCUUUCUUUGACAAGUAAUGCUUUAUGGAAGAGUUGCUUUUUAAGAAAAUGUUUGUUUGUUUUUGGUGUGGGAGGAGGAAGGGGAAGAUGAACUCGGAUCUGGGAAGCAAACAACCCCCCUUUUUCCUGCGGCCAGAAAAAGGAGCGGAGAUGUGCAACGCUUUAAUUGCAUCUCCCUUUCUGCUUUUUGCCAACCGUCGGGAUGUUCGACUAGUGGAUGCUGGAGGAACGAAGCUGGAGUCCACUGUGGUGGUCAGUGGUUUAGAGGAUGCUGCUGCGGUUGACUUCCAGUAUUCACAAGGCAUCGUUUUCUGGACAGAUGUGAGUGAAGAAGCCAUCAAGCAAACUUACAUUAACCAAACUGGGAAUGUGGUACAGAAUGUCAUCAUUUCUGGUCUGGUUUCCCCGGAUGGCCUGGCAUGUGAUUGGAUUGGGAAAAAGCUUUACUGGACGGAUUCAGAAACCAAUAGAAUAGAAGUAGCUAAUCUCAAUGGAACAUCUAGAAAAGUCCUCUUCUGGCAAGAUCUUGAUCAGCCCAGGGCAAUAGCGUUGGAUCCUGCUCAUGGAUACAUGUAUUGGACUGACUGGGGGGAAACCCCUAGAAUAGAACGAGCAGGAAGGGAACGCNNNNNNNNNNNAAUUGUUGAUUCAGAUAUUUAUUGGCCAAAUGGACUCACAAUAGAUCUUGAUGAGCAGAAGCUUUACUGGGCUGAUGCAAAACUGAGUUUCAUUCAUAGAGCAAAUUUGGAUGGUUCCUUCAGGCAAAAAGUUGUUGAAGGUAGUCUUACUCAUCCGUUUGCACUGACAUUGUCUGGAGACACUUUGUAUUGGACGGACUGGCAGACACGCUCCAUUCAUGCCUGUAACAAAAGGACGGGGGAGAAAAGGAGAGAAAUACUGAGUGCCCUGUAUUCACCAAUGGACAUCCAGGUCUUGAGUCCAGACCGACAGCCAUACUUUCACACUCCGUGCGAAGAAAACAAUGGUGGUUGCUCCCAUCUGUGCCUGCUGUCUCCGAGAGACCCCUUCUACAGCUGUGCCUGUCCCACUGGUGUGCAGCUAGAAGAUGACGGCAGGACUUGCAAAUCAGGUGCUGAAGAAGUCUUGCUGCUUGCUAGAAGGACUGACUUGAGAAGGAUCUCCCUGGACAUGCCAGAUUUCACUGACAUUAUUCUGCAGAUAGACAAUAUCAGACACGCGAUUGCCAUAGACUAUGAUCCUGUGGAGGGCUAUAUCUACUGGACUGACGAUGAUGUCCGGGCAAUUCGUCGGGCCUACCUUGAUGGCUCAGGAGCACAGACUCUGGUAACCACAGAAAUCAACCAUCCAGAUGGUAUUGCUGUGGAUUGGGUGGCAAGGAACCUGUACUGGACUGACACUGGAACAGACCGCAUUGAAGUGACCCGCUUGAAUGGAACGUCAAGAAAGAUCCUUAUCUCAGAAAACCUAGAUGAGCCCCGAGCAAUAGUGCUCAAUCCUGUAAUGGGCUACAUGUAUUGGACAGACUGGGGUGAAAGUCCAAAGAUAGAAUGUGCUUAUCUGGAUGGCUCAGAGAGGAGAGUUUUGGUGAAUACGUCCCUAGGUUGGCCUAAUGGCUUGGCACUGGAUCUUGAAGAAGACAAACUUUACUGGGGAGAUGCGAAAACAGAUAAAAUUGAGGUCAUAAAUGUUGAUGGAACGAUGAGGAAAACCCUCCUAGAAGAUAAGCUUCCACAUAUAUUUGGGUUCACGCUGCUGGGAGACUACAUCUACUGGACUGACUGGCAGAGACGAAGCAUUGAAAGGGUGCACAAGAUAAGGGCUAGCAGAGACAUCAUUAUUGAUCAGCUACCAGACUUAAUGGGCCUUAAAGCAACAAGUGUUACCAAAGUGUUUGGAACUAAUCCCUGUGCGGAGAACAACGGAGGCUGCAGCCAUCUGUGUUUUUUUACACCCCAGGAGACCAGGUGUGCCUGUCCCAUUGGCCUUGAGCUGCUGAGUGACAUGAAGACUUGCAUCAUUCCUGAAGCCUUCUUAGUUUUCACCAGCCGAGCAGCGAUUCAUAGGAUUUCUCUCGAAACCAAUAAUAAUGAUGUUGCUAUUCCUCUUACGGGAGUCAAGGAGGCAUCUGCUCUGGAUUUUGAUGUGUCUGAUAACAGAAUCUAUUGGACUGAUGUUAGUUUGAAGACCAUAAGCCGGGCUUUCAUGAAUGGGAGCUCUGUUGAGCAUGUGAUUGAGUUUGGGCUAGAUUAUCCUGAGGGAAUGGCUGUGGACUGGAUGGGAAAGAACCUCUACUGGGCAGAUACUGGAACCAACCGAAUUGAAGUGGCCCGCCUGGAUGGACAGUUCAGGCAGGUUCUUGUGUGGAAGGACUUAGACAACCCAAGGUCUUUAGCUCUCGAUCCUACCAAAGGGUACAUGUACUGGACAGAAUGGGGAGGUAAACCUAGGAUUGUUCGGGCCUACAUGGAUGGAACAAACAGCAUCACGUUGGUGGAUAAAGUGGGUCGUGCCAAUGAUCUCACCAUUGAUUAUGCAGACCAAAGGCUAUAUUGGACUGACUUAGAUACAAGCAUGAUUGAGUCGUCGAAUAUGCUAGGACAAGAAAGAGAAAUCAUAGCAGAUGAUCUACCUCAUCCAUUUGGAUUAACCCAAUAUAGUGACUACAUCUACUGGACAGACUGGAAUCUUCACAGUAUAGAAAGAGCAGACAAGACCAAUGGGAAGAACAGGACGCUUAUUCAGGGCCAUCUGGAUUUUGUGAUGGAUAUAUUGGUCUUUCAUUCUUCGCGGCAGGAUGGCUUGAAUGAUUGUGUGCAAAACAAUGGCCACUGCGGCCACCUGUGCCUUGCCAUACCGAAUGGAUUUAGGUGCGGCUGUGCUGCUCAUUACACCUUGGAUCCCAACAGCAGGAACUGUAGCUCCCCUACCAGCUUCCUGUUGUUUAGCCAGAAGUCAGCGAUCAGUCGGAUGAUACCAGAUGACCAACAAAGUCCAGAUAUCAUCCUGCCUAUGCAUGGUCUAAGGAAUGUCAAGGCUAUAGAUUAUGAUCCCUUAGAUAAAUUGAUCUAUUGGGUGGAUGGACGUCAGAAUAUUAUAAAAAGAGCCAAAGAUGAUGGCACUCAGCCUUUCACUGUCAUGAGUACUCCAAACCAAAGCCAGAACCCGGAGAAGCAGCCACAUGACCUCAGCAUCGAUAUAUACAGCCACACUUUGUACUGGACCUGCGAGGCCACAAAUUCGGUCAACGUGCACAGGCUGAACGGCGAGUCGAUUGGAAUGGUGUUGCGAGGGGAUCAUGACAAGCCCAGAGCCAUUGUAGUGAACGCGGAGCGAGGGUACAUGUACUUCACUAACAUGCAAGAGCGAGCCCCCAAGAUUGAGCGUGCUGCCCUUGACGGCACAGAGAGGGAAGUGCUUUUUACAACCGGGUUGAUCCGGCCAGUAGCGCUGGUGAUUGACAACAAGCUUGGGAAGCUUUUCUGGGUGGAUGCAGAUCUGAAGCGCAUCGAAAGCUGUGACUUGUCAGGUGCUAAUCGUGUGACCUUGGAGGAUUCCAACAUCCUUCAGCCUAUGGGACUGACUGUGCUGGGUAAUCACUUGUAUUGGAUUGAUCGUCAGCAGCAGAUGAUUGAGAGAGUCGAGAAAACCAACGGGUACAAAAGGACUAGAAUUCAAGGCCGAAUUGCUCACCUAACAGGCAUUCAUGCAGUGGAAGAGCUUGAUAUGGAGGAAUUCUCUGCACAUCCAUGUUCCCGGGACAAUGGUGGGUGUUCACACAUCUGCAUUGCCAAAGGGGACGGGACUCCGAGAUGUUCGUGCCCAGAGCACCUUGUGCUUCUACAGAAUCUCUUAACGUGUGGAGAACCCCCGACCUGUUCCCCAGACCAGUUUACCUGUGCAACUGGAGAGAUUGACUGCAUCCCAAUGGCAUGGCGGUGUGAUGGAUUUCCCGAGUGUGAUGAUCAGAGUGAUGAAGACAGCUGCCCCAUCUGUUCUGCAUCCCAGUUCCAGUGUGAGAAAGGACAGUGUAUUGAUGCUCACUUGCGGUGUAAUGGAGAAAUUGACUGCCAAGAUAAAUCUGAUGAAGCAGACUGUGAUACAAUCUGUCUGCCCAAUCAGUUCCGAUGUGCCAGCGGCCAGUGCAUCCUCCUGAAGCAACAGUGUGACUCCUUUCCAGAUUGCAUUGAUGGUUCGGACGAGCUCAUGUGUGAAAAAUCAAAGCCAGCCUCAGAUGAGCCACAGCCACACAGUAGUGCCAUUGGGCCUGUCAUUGGUAUAAUACUGUCCCUUUUUGUCAUGGGAGGAAUGUAUUUUGUUUGCCAGCGAGUAGUGUGUCAGCGCUACGCCGGGCCCAACAGCCCUUUUCCGCAUGAGUAUGUCAGUGGCACCCCUCAUGUGCCUCUUAAUUUUAUUGCUCCAGGAAGUUCUCAACAUGGCACUUUUACCGGCAUCUCUUGUGGAAAGUCUAUGAUUAGUUCCAUGAGUCUCAUGGGAGGAAGCAGUGGUGCCCCCCUAUAUGACAGAAACCAUGUUACUGGAGCUUCUUCUAGUAGCUCAUCCAGCACGAAAGCCACUUUUUACCCACAGAUCUUGAAUCCACCUCCUUCCCCAGCAACCGAUCGCUCCCUGUAUAACACAGAGAUGUUUUAUUCCUCAAACAUUCCUUCAACCACGAGAUCUUACAGACCAUACCUUAUACGAGGGAUAGCUCCACCCACAACCCCGUGCAGCACAGAUGUGUGUGACAGUGACUACACUACUAGUCGAUGGAAGGCCAACAAAUACUACAUCGAUUUAAAUUCAGACUCAGACCCUUAUCCCCCUCCCCCAACACCUCGCAGCCAGUACAUGUCGGCAGAAGAAAGCUGUCCCCCAUCUCCUGCCACGGAACGAAGCUAUUUUCACCUCUAUCCCCCUCCGCCCUCUCCUUGUACAGACUCCUCAUGACCUCAACAGAAGGAACUUUCCU